AAUAAGCAUUAAUUUCUUUUCAGUGGAAGACUUGAAGGCCAAUACAGAAUAUACUGGCUAUACUGUGGCGUCAAAUGUCGUUCAAUGGUUUUGGGAGGUGGUCAAAACUUUUAACAAGGAAGACAUGGCAAGAUUUCUGAAAUUUGCGACUGGAACAUCAAAGGUUCCUUUGGAAGGUUUUAAGGCCUUGCAAGGCAUCUCUGGUCCUCAGAGGUUUCAGAUUCACAAGGCAUAUGGAGCUCCAGAUUGAUUGUCGUCGGCUCAUACAUGCUUCAAUCAACUAUACCUUCCAGAGUAUACCUCUAAAGAACAGCUUCAAGAACGGUUGUUACUAGCCAUUCAUGAGGCCAGUGAAGGCUUUGGUUUUGGUUGACUUCUAUCCUUCUCCCAUAUCUUUGCACAGCAGUUCUACCAUUAUGUCUUACACCUGUCAUGUGGAGGUAUUGUUUUUAUUUCUUCAAAAAUUUUGAAUUUUUUAUUUUUCUCUCUCUUAAAAAUGAGUCAGUUACGAAGAGUUCUCUGUUUUUCAAAUGAUGAUGAAUGUGACUCAGAUGGGAAGUUAUUUAUUUUUGUUGAGGACACGCAGCAUCGAAUGAGGAAAUUUAUGAUGCUGUGUUGAUGUGUUCAUUAUCAGAUCGAUUUUGCAUAUAUGAUGCUGUGUUGAGGACAUGCAUUUGGUGUUGUAGAGUCAUUAUCAGAUCGAUUUUGCAUUCAUUUUGAUGUGAAUAUCUCUCUCUGUGUGAACGAUCUUCUCGCAUGCUGUGGCUUUUUGUGUGGAUCUGGUUGUGAUGGAGGGUAUCCCCUAAAUGCAUAGCGAUACCUAGUCAGCUAUAGUGUUGUCACUGAAGAGGUUCUAAACUAGCUGGUCAAGGAGCACCCGACUAUGGCACUCGGAGUAUGCUUGCACCAUUUAAGUUUCUGGUUUCUCUUUCUUCCAAUAUUCUUUGUUUUGGUGUAUAUGUUCACAUGAACCUACAUCAAGUUUAUGAUAUGGAGAAGCAUCAUUGCAUUGUCUCGUUUCAUUGAAAUUUGAGAUUGUGUCUGUAUAUAAAGCAUCACCAUGGACUCGAUCUGCUGGUUGAAGCAUCAUAUUGUGAUUAUUAUCAAUGGUUGUAAAACAACCUUAUUUCAGAUUCUUAUGAUUUGUAUUGACAUAUAGAUCAUCAAAACUCUCAAUUAACUCUAAUAAAAAUAAUUUGAAAAGAAAAAAAAAGGCUUCCUUUAAGAUAAUCGUUACAUGAGAUUACAUUUCUUCUCAUCUGCUCUUAGGUUGGGACUGUUCUCAAGAUUGAGGAUGCAAAAGCUGCAAUCAAUGCUCGAGCAAAAUUUUUUAUGAUUCCAGCAAUUGUUAAGGUUUGAAUUUUGAGAUCUUAGUAGUAUAUUAGGAUGUCAGAUAACAACUGCUAGUGCUUGGUCACAAUGUUUUGUUAUUUCUUUCAUUUUCUUUUUCUUUUUCUUUAUUUCUUUUUUUUUGGGCGCUCCGAUCAAUUACCAGGAUGUUAUGUAUUACAUUCAGAAUGGUGAAGUUUUAUACAUUCCUGGCACAAUGACUCCAACUGAAAUAUUGUCUGCAUGUGAAGCAGGAGCUAAAAUGGUCGAGGUUGGCCUUCUAAUGUUCUGUUUAGUUUACCAUGUUGAAGAACAUUCAAAUAAUCAAAUAUAGAUAAGAGUGUGCAUGUGCACACUUGUUGCAUGGAGGAGUAUGCACUUUUGGUUUUUCUUGCGUUGCAUUUUUUCAUCUGUUUUCGGCUCAUAGGAGGGAUGCACUAAUCUCCUGAUCCCGACUCUAAUUUUUUCUAGAUUUGUGCUGAUAAUUUUCA